rnacentral:rRNA from 1 species
AGAGUGAACGCUGGCGGUAGGCCUAACACAUGCAAGUCGAACGGCAGCACAGUAGGAGCUUGCUCUUACGGGUGGCGAGUGGCGGACGGGUGAGGAAUACAUCGGAAUCUACCUUUUUGGUGGGGGAUAACGUAGGGAAACUUACGCUAAUACCGCAUACGCCCCUUCGGGGGAAAAGCCCGGGACGAACGACGAA